CCUACGGGAGGCAGCAGUAGGGAAUACUGCUCAAUGGGGGAAACCCUGAAGCAGCAACGCCGCGUGGAGGAUGAAGGUUUUCGGAUUUUAACCUCCUUUUGUUAGAGAAGAUAAUGACGGUAUCUAACGAAUAAGCACCGGCUAACUCCGUGCCAGCAGCCGCGGUAAUACGGAGGGUGCAAGCGUUACUCGGAAUCACUGGGCGUAAAGAGCGCGUAGGCGGGAUAGUAAGUCAGAUGUGAAAUCCUAUGGCUUAACCAUAGAACUGCAUUUGAAACUGUUAUUCUAGAGUAUGGGAGAGGUAGGUGGAAUGCUUGGUGUAGGGGUAAAAUCCGUAGAGAUCAAGAGGAAUACUCAUUGCGAAGGCGACCUGCUAGAACAUAACUGACGCUGAUGCGCGAAAGCGUGGGGAGCAAACAGGAGUAGAUACCCCUGUAGUC
rnacentral:rRNA from 1 species